rnacentral:rRNA from 1 species
CCUACGGGAGGCAGCAGUGAGGAAUAUUGGUCAAUGGACGAGAGUCUGAACCAGCCAAGUAGCGUGAAGGAUGACUGCCCUAUGGGUUGUAAACUUCUUUUAUAUGGGAAUAAAAUGUUCCACGUGUGGGCUUUUGUAUGUACCAUAUGAAUAAGGAUCGGCUAACUCCGUGCCAGCAGCCGCGGUAAUACGGAGGAUCCGAGCGUUAUCCGGAUUUAUUGGGUUUAAAGGGUGCGUAGGUGGAUUGUUAAGUCAGUUGUGAAAGUUUGCGGCUCAACCGUAAAAUUGCAGUUGAAACUGGCAGUCUUGAGUACAGUAGAGGUGGGCGGAAUUCGUGGUGUAGCGGUGAAAUGCUUAGAUAUCGCGAAGAACUCCGAUUGCGAAGGCAGCUCACUGGACUGCAACUGACACUGAGGCUCGAAAGUGUGGGUAUCAAACAGGAUUAGAUACCCGGGUAGUC